rnacentral:lncRNA from 1 species
GGGUGAGAUACACGAAAGCGAGAACGACAAAAAGGAGUAUAGAACAUACCAGAGGUGAACGUUGUCAUCCUAAUUUCCUACAAACUUGACUUACAAACUUACAAAAAGGCAACAGUAGUAUACCGGUGUUCAAAAGUCAGAAAUCGAUUGAAAGAAGACAAAUCCGAGUUACAAAUUAAACUUAAAUCGAUUGUAACACCUCAACUAUAAGAG